rnacentral:rRNA from 1 species
GUAAAAUUGGAUUUUGACGCCGCAGCGUGCGUAACUGUUUCGGAGAGUUACCGCCUCGAAGAUCUGCUAAAGAAGAUAGCCACCGAGUUAGGCAUCACAAUCAAUGUUGCCAACGUUGAGACGAGAGGCCUAGCAGAGUCCAUCCAUAACUACCUUCAAGGUAAAAAUUACAUUUUGGUCUUGGAUGAUGUUUGGACUCCGCUUGUUUGGUUGGAGAUAAGGAAUGUCUUUCCAACAUCUAACUGUACCAGUCGAUUUGUUAUCACAUCAAGAAAGCAUGAAGUGUCACUGUUAGCAACUGGGGAGUCUGCACUUCACUUGGAACUGCUAGAAGUACAUCACUCCUGGCUGUUAUUUUGCAAAGGAGCCUUUUGGAAUGAUGAUGAUAAGGAGUGCCCGUUGGAGUUGCAAAAAUUGGCUUGGAAGUUCAUAGCAAAGUGCCGAGGCUUGCCUAUUGCUAUUGCAUGCAUUGGCCGCCUACUCUCCUGCAAACCCCCAACUUUGGCUGAAUGGGAGAAUGUAUACAGGCGUUUGGAUUCACAUUUGAUGAAAGAUGUGAUCCCUGAUGUUCAUAUGAUUCUAAAGGUCAGCUUGGAGGACCUUCCACACAAUUUGAAGAAUUGUUUCUUACACUGUGCAUUAUUCCCAGAAGAUUAUGUAUUAAAGAGGAGGACGAUAAUGAGGCAGUGGAUUGCUGUAGGAUUUAUCAGGGAAAAGGAGGAUAGCAAAAUACUGGAAAAAAUGUCAGAGAGAUACUUGAUUGAGCUUGUCAACCGAAGCCUACUACAUGUAGUGGAAAGGAAUUAUGCUGGACGACUUAAGCACUGCCGGAUGCAUGAUGUCAUACGCCUCCUUGCCCUCAACAAAGCCAAGGAGGAAUGCUUUGGUAAAGUUUAUGAUAGCUCACCUACUGGGACAUCCUCUGUAGAGGAUGCACGUCGCAUAUUUGUCCCGGGGGGAAACAUCAAACAAAUGAGCCGAUCUGGUGGAACACAUCUCCGUGGAUUCCAUGUAUUCGGGUGGUAUAUCGAUAUUGAUUUGCUGAAGCCUAUCCUAAUCUCUUUGAAUUUUUUGUUAACAUUGGAUUUGCAAGGUACUUGCAUUAAAAUAUUGCCCAAUGAGGUAUUCAACUUGUUUAGUAAGGCAGCU